CUCCUACAUGACGUUCUCUUGGAGUCGUUGCUAUCGCUUGACGAGAACCAUCUUCUCAUCAUGAGAGCGAAGUGGCGAAAGAAGCGCAUGCGCAGGCUGAAGCGUAAAAGGAGAAAGAUGAGGCAGAGGUCAAAGUAAACGGGACCCCUUUUGCUGAAGCUGAGUGCUCUUCCACUUCAAUCUCCUAAGCAAGAGUCUUCUGGAAGCCCAUCUAAAGAUCCACUCAUCUACCACCUGUGAGCCCAGCCAUCUUCUCAACAGAGACUUUGGUUUCCAUCACUUGGUUCUGCAGAAGCAUCCUGGUCUUGAUGAUCCUGUGAACUGUUUUUGGACAUUCCUCAGACUUGUCUGCUCAGCUUGUUUUUGUUAAUGUCUUCAAUAAAUUUUGGUUUAACAAAA